rnacentral:rRNA from 1 species
GACGAACGCUGGCGGCGUGCUUAACACAUGCAAGUCGAGCGGAAAGGCCCCUUCGGGGGUACUCGAGCGGCGAACGGGUGAGUAACACGUGAGUAAUCUGCCCUUCACUUGGGGAUAACCUCCGGAAACGGUGGCUAAUACCCGAUACGACACAGUUUCGCAUGAGAUCUGUGUGGAAAGUUUUUUCGGUGGGGGAUGUGCUCGCGGCCUAUCAGCUUGUUGGUGGGGUAAUGGCCUACCAAGGCUUCGACGGGUAGCCGGCCUGAGAGGGUGACCGGCCACACUGGGACUGAGACACGGCCCAGACUCCUACGGGAGGCAGCAGUGGGGAAUAUUGGACAAUGGGCGGAAGCCUGAUCCAGCAACGCCGCGUGAGGGAUGACGGCCUUCGGGUUGUAAACCUCUUUCAGCACAGACGAAGCCUCAGCUUUUUGGUUGGGGUGACGGUAUGUGCAGAAGAAGCACCGGCCAACUACGUGCCAGCAGCCGCAGUAAAAC